rnacentral:lncRNA from 10 species
GGUGUAGGUCCCAUGCCCACCAAGACCUCUGUAUCUCCUCCGCAUACUCAGACUGGGCAGUACUCAGUGGAUGCUUAGCAGAUGCUGCCGACUGCUGGAGACAGGGACUCUGACCUUGGGCUCUCUCUUCCGAGGGGUAGAGGAGCUGCUUCCUAUUCUGCAGCUCUGCACCACAUGUUCAGUAUGAGCUGUUUCUAGCCAGUCGUGGAAUACGCUAUUAUUCCAUCUACUCUCCAUCCACCUCAUGUCUGCAACCUUGUGAGGCAGAGCCAGCACUUGGCGGGGUUGCGUGUGCUGCUAGAAUCCUGAGCUCCAUCGUGGAGAAAGAACUUCCCCCAGCUUUCCCUGUCACUCCCUAAAUCUGUAUUCUGCGAUGUCCCAAAUCCAUCCACUACACGAUUGAAACCCUAGGUAUGCAGUUGUGUAUUUGGUGCCUUAAUCCUCACACAGCUUCAUCUCAUUUGAGAUUCUAACCAGUAUGAGGACAGGGACCACAUCCUAUUUACUGCCCUCGUUUCUCUGAGAGUUAGGAGUGCUGUGUUGGGCACACAGAGGCUCUGCCAGAACCAAGUGGUACCCCUCUUGCUUACCUUCAUUUCUCGGCUCAGGGAGAACCCAACUUCCACAUUUUACUCUGGUCAUUGAGGCUGUACCCCAAGUUACCCGUGGGCUGGUCUGUCAGAACAUCCUCCUCUCUUUGUCCUCUGAGGAGAGAUUAGCAGAAGGCUAAGAGCAGCCAGCCAGGCCCCACCACUCCCAGCUGCUCUGAUCAAACACCAUUCCUGCCGCUUCUUCUAGCUCUGGCUCCCCCGGCGCAGGCCAGAAACAGCUGAUCAAACACAUCAGGACAAGGUUGAAACCCCUGUGCUCCACACAGGGUCCACACCAAGCCAGCAUUUCCAGAAAGGCAGAGCUGGAGCUGAGGAGACGGGAGCUGUGUGUGCACGUAUGAGUAUGUGGGGGUGAGAGAGAUGUCAAGAGCACAUGUGGGUUUGGGAGCAUGGGAUUAUUAGAUUGUCACAGGAUGACUUAAGAUCCUCCCCCGCUAAACUGCGACCCCUUCAAGGGCAAGGACUGUGCAUUAUCCUCGUUCUCUCUCUUACAUGCACAUGUGUGUACCCAGCAGUUAGCCUGGCACAUCAGGUGCCUGAUUGCACAGGUAUGUUAGACCUGAAGUUCUGGGACUCGGUGAGGUCCUGUUACCGGGCUAAAAUGGUGCCUGGCUCCCGCUCCUACAGGACUCAUCAGCCAGGUAAGGAUUAUAUAUGAAUGAGAAACAGAUACCAAAACACCCA